UACGGAGGGAGCUAGCGUUGUUCGGAAUUACUGGGCGUAAAGCGCGCGUAGGCGGCUUUGUAAGUUAGAGGUGAAAGCCCGGGGCUCAACCCCGGAAUUGCCUUUAAGACUGCAUCGCUUGAAUCCGGGAGAGGUGAGUGGAAUUCCGAGUGAUAGAGGUGAAAUUCGUAGAUAUUCGGAAGAACACCAGUGGCGAAGGCGGCUCACUGGACCGGCAUUGACGCUGAGGUGACGAAAGCGUGGGGAGCAAACAGG
rnacentral:rRNA from 1 species